UGUAAGAGGAUAUUAGACUUGUUUUUCUAUAGGUAUGAGAAUUUUGAAAUCAAUCGAUCAGUGAAAAAGAGAUAUAUUGGCUCUAGAAAAUUGGCAUCAAGGUUGGAGAAGGAGGCCGGCUAAUAUUUGAGUACAUUUUUGAGGUUAUCGUCUAUUUGGUAAUUCCGAUCCUUUUCAAAUUUUUUGUGUUUGUAUUUAACUUAGAUUCUAAUAAGUGUGAAGAAUUUGAGUUAAUAUCAAUGGUUAAUUUAUUAGUUAUUGAGGUUUAAUUCUGUUGUAGAAAUUACUAUGAUUUGGUUAGGAUUUGAUUUAGGAUUAGGAUUUGGUUAGGGUUUGAUUUAGAAUUAGGAUUUAGUUUAGGAUUUAGGAUUAGGAUUAGGAUUUGGUUAGGAUUUGAUUUAGGAUUAGGGUUUGAUUAGAUUUUAGUUAAGAUUUGAUUUAGGAUUUAGGAUUUAGUUUAGGAUUUAAUUUAGGAUUUAGGAUUUGAUUUAGGAUUUAAGGUUUGGUUUAGGAUUUAAGAUUUGAUUAGGAUUUGAUGAAGAUUUGAUUUAGGAUUUAAGAUUUAGUUAGUUUUAGGCCUAAAGUUUGAAUGAAGUCGAAUAAGUUUUCAACUAUGAUUAAAUUAAGGUUGAAUUGAGAUGUAUUUGAGAUAUGUUUGUAAUCAUUCUAAUUUUUUUUUAAGAUUUCUUAUUGUUUCUUUGGAAUUCUUUUGAGGUUUCUCUAAAUUUGAUUAAAGUUUAUUUAGCAUUAUUAGUGUUCUAUUAGAAUUAGG
rnacentral:lncRNA from 1 species